AUUGAACGCUGGCGGCAUGCCUAACACAUGCAAGUCGAACGGGGCAGCAAUGCCUAGUGGCGGACGGGUGAGGAAUACGUAGGAAUCUGCCCUUAAGUGGGGGAUAACCAGGGGAAACCCUGACUAAUACCGCAUGAUCUCUUCGGAGCCAAGAGGGGGACCGCAAGGCCUCUCGCUUCUGGAUGAGCCUACGUCUGAUUAGCUAGUUGGUAGGGUAAAGGCCUACCAAGGCGACGAUCAGUAACUGGUCUGAGAGGAUGAUCAGUCACACCGGAACUGAGACACGGUCCGGACUCCUACGGGAGGCAGCAGUGGGGAAUAUUGGACAAUGGGCGCAAGACUGAUCCAGCAAUGCCACGUGUGUGAAGAAGGCCUUCGGGUUGUAAAGCACUUUAGCCUGGAAAGAAAGAACUGUGGUUAUCACCCAAAGUCUUGACAGUACCAGGAGAAUAAGCACCGGCUAACUCUGUGCCAGCCGCCGCGGUAAGAC
rnacentral:rRNA from 1 species